rnacentral:rRNA from 1 species
CACAUGCAAGUCGAACGAGAAUCUACGGAUCGAGGAUUCGUCCAAGUGAAGUAGAGGACAGUGGCGGACGGGUGAGUAACGCGUGAGGAACCUGCCUUUCAGAGGGGGACAACAGUUGGAAACGACUGCUAAUACCGCAUGACACAUUGGGGUCGCAUGGCUCUGAUGUCAAAGAUUUAUCGCUGAAAGAUGGCCUCGCGUCUGAUUAGCUAGUUGGUGAGGUAACGGCCCACCAAGGCGACGAUCAGUAGCCGGACUGAGAGGUUGACCGGCCACAUUGGGACUGAGAUACGGCCCAGACUCCUACGGGAGGCAGCAGUGGGGAAUAUUGGGCAAUGGGCGCAAGCCUGACCCAGCAACGCCGCGUGAAGGAAGAAGGCUUUCGGGUUGUAAACUUCUUUUGUCAGGGACGAGUAGAAGACGGUACCUGACGAAUAAGCCACGGCUAACUACGUGCCAGCAGCCGCGGUAAUACGUAGGUGGCAAGCGUUGUCCGGAUUUACUGGGUGUAAAGGGCGUGUAGCCGGGAAGGCAAGUCAGAUGUGAAAUCCACGGGCUCAACUCGUGAACUGCAUUUGAAACUGUUUUUCUUGAGUAUCGGAGAGGCAAUCGGAAUUCCUAGUGUAGCGGUGAAAUGCGUAGAUAUUAGGAGGAACACCAGUGGCGAAGGCGGAUUGCUGGACGACAA